CAGGAAACGAGCGGCCGAGUACGCACGCCAGGCCCUGCCAUACCUGGAGAGCCGGCAGGAGCACCUGAGAGAGGUGGCCAGGAGGUUCAUCGGGUCCGCCAGGAUUCUCUUGAGGGGGCAGAAGGAAGAGCUCCGAUUCCUCAGCGAGGCCCUUCAAGCCUCAAAGAAAAAAACGGUCUAACCUGUAUGUUCAAGAGCAGUUUGCCAGAGAAGCAGAAGAAUUAGUCAUCUUCAGGAUCCAGUGAACCAGUGUCCCAAGAACAGCAGGAGACACUGAAGAGGACAGACACCACCUCCCAGUGGCACUAGAGCUCCAGGCACAGCUGAGCCUGUGGGAAGCUCAAGUAGCUUCAGCCCUCUCCCUCUCUCCAGCCCUGAGACCGUGCCUACCACCUUUUUUUCCCUUCCAGCUCAUCCCUUUGCUUCAUCUUCCAAAUAAUAAACAGUUUGGCUUUUCAUUUUAUCUGCAUCUCUGUGGAACUGAAGUGGUGCAAAUCCUGAGUGCUGGGACACACAGACCCCUCCUGCCAUUCUCUUCCACACCGUGUUUUGUGUAGAGACGCAGAGGAACGAGGGCAGAUCAAACUGGAAAGGUCCUUGGGCUGAAGUUCCAGUUACACAACAUUGUAGAGGUAAAGAUCUUGCUGAGCACCCUGAAUGCCAGUUGUGAGAGAAGGAGCCUGUGUGUCAGGAACCAAAGUUGUGUCUAAGGCCCUGCCAUAUUUGGUCUGCUGCUGUGCACAUUGACAAGAUAAUGACUAAACCCAUUUACACCACUGGACCUUCAGAGGAAAACUGUGCCCUUCUACAGGAUCAUUACUUCAACAGAAACACAUCUGUUCCUCCAGGAGGACUGCAGACACCAUUUAACUGGACUGCUACCAACACCCUGACUAACAGGGUGUCAGAUUGAAUUCAGACUCUGGCACUAGACAGUGGAGAAGAGAUGAGGCCUGGUUCUGGAGACGCAAGGACAAAAUGCAAGCCUUUUUGAUGCAUAGGGUGCCCUGAAGGUGCACAGCCUGCCUGCCCCUCCCACUGGAGCACCAUAUCCAUCUCCUGCUGCUGCUCAGUGGCUUUUCACCAAUCCAGGUGUUGGUAUGUAUUAUUUGCAACAGCUACUAAUAAAA